UCUCUCACGCAACGGUCUUUUGUCGACCGUCUUGCGCGCUCUCUCUCUCUCUCUCUCUCUCUCUUGCCCUGCCCAAGAACCCUCUCUCGCUCUCUCCAAUUGGAAAAGGCCGUCCUCGGGCAGCAGAGAAAGGCUUCUUAAAGGCACUGCGCCAGCACCUUAUCCCAAACCCUAGCUCUCCCCCAAGCCCCUGUCUACUACCCUUUCGAAUAUGAAUUCCAGGACCCGGUCUCCUACAUCUCCAGGAUCCAACCUGAGGCCAAAUCCCACGGCAUCUGUCGCAUGGUUCCCCUCAAGAGCUGGGCCCACCCUUCACCCUCGACAUCUCCUCCUCCACCUUCCCCACCAAAUCCCAGGCUAUUCCUGUCUCCAUUUCCACCCAUCUGCCUGCGUCCUGGCCACCUUCGAACUAGAUUACACCUGCUUCCUUGAGAACCACUUUAGCUGCAAGCUCGAGAAGUGGGUUGCUGUUGUCGUCUUCAAGGGCGAGGAUCUUAGCCUCUGCUACCUCUUCAAUGUGCUCAAGCGUUUUGGUGGGUACGAUAAGGUCGUCAAGGAGAAGAGGUGUUGCGAAGAGGAGGUGGUUGGGGAUAAUGGGGCCAACUGGCAGCUCAUUGAUUGAGAGGCGGUUUUGGAAGAUUUUAGAGGGGUUUAUGGGGAAGGUGGUGGUGAUGUAUCGGAGUGAUUUGGGCACAUCUUUGUACUGGAGUGGGUUCCCCUACGAGAAUGACCCAUUGCCGCCCUCUAUGGAGCUGGAGGUGUAGAAGAAGUAUCGCUCUAGCCCAUGAAAUCUUAGUAAUUUUCCUAAAUUACAAGGAUCAAGGCUUCAAGAGGUUCAUGAUGUUGGGAUGCUAUUUUUGUAGUGCUAUUGGCAUUUUGAGGACCACUACUUGAUGAAUUAUCUGCAACGAUGUCUAAGCUCGACAGAUUGUUAUUGUAGUCAUCAGCCCAUGCCCAAGCCUAGCAAUCGUCGAUGACGUGAGCUAGAUAGCAUGGUCGCGAGUCAUCCUCCUUACAUGUGGUGCAAAAUUAGAGCACAUAUAACUCAUGUGGCUCAAGACACUGUGGAGAAGCACUAGGAUGAUCCAGUGAAGCCUUCUGAUGAAUACUUUUGGUUUAAUUAGCCUCAUAUUGUCCUUCACUUGAUCCAUUUCAUCUAAUUCCACAAUUUAUUUGAGAUUGCAUUCUUCUCCUGGAUGUUGGUUAGUUAGAGCAUAUAUUUUGUAGACCUGCUAGGUGCAUGUAUGUCCACUGAUUUGCCUUGAUAUUUUCAGAGAACCUUUGGGUUUCAUUCAUGCAUGAUGAACAAAAUGUGGGUUACAUUGUUCGAAGGCUUGGACUUUUCGCUUGCCUUGUUAAUAGUAAUAGGCUAAUUGCUGCACAAAAUAGAAUGAAAUGCCAAUAAUAAAAGAUAGAUACUAUGUACUCUUUUCAGUAUUCCUACAUUUCUAGCCCUUAGAAUGUAUUGCUGUUGGAUUACGUGUGCAGCAUGCUUAUUCAAGUUCUUUACUGCUACAGUAACCUUUGUAUGCAAUUUUAACCCUGGAAAUUGUUUGCCUUGCCUUCUUUUAAAGCUUUGUUCGCCAAAGAGUUUGAGAUGGCCGGGGCCUAUCUCCCCCCCCCCCUUAAAACGAAGAUGGGUUGCAAGUUCAAACAAGAGAUUCAGUUAGUAGCAAGGAACCCUGAAGGGUUGGGCUAAGGGAGCAAGGGAGGGAAAGAAACCAGAGGGAUGGUUGAUGAGUACCCGGACCCACAAGGCUGGGUACUUCUUGGACCUAACCUGAUUUUAAUUGUCUGGGUCCCAUUUAUUGAACCCAUUAAGAAAUCGGGUUUGAGUGCUUUAGUUAGCGUUAGGUCACAUUGAUUGACCCACUCAAUUCUCGUCGGUCUAGUUGGGUAGAUUUACUAGAGAAGCAUUAUGAUUUUUGGAUUCCUGGGUAAACAUGAGCAACAUACCUGAGCGCUUGGGCAGAUCUCAUGAAAGUUAGACUCACGUGGUGCUCGAUUAGCAGAAGCAAUACGCUACUUACACAAUGUGAAAAAACCAGAGGACAAUCAAUGAGUACCCGGACCCGUGGAUCCAGGUACUUGUUGGAUCCGACCCGAUGUUAAUGGUGCGGGUCCCAUUUAUUGGACCUGUUAAGAAAUUGGGUUCAGGUGCCCGAGUUAGUGUUAGGUCACACCUCCUGUCAAGUCUGAUCAUGUGUGUUGUCCAUACUGGAUUCUCCUCCAGACCCAUCAAUUUAUCAUGUUUGCCUCUCGCAGCUAUUUGGUUGUAGCUGGUUUAGAAUCUGAUAGCUUAGAAUGGUUGCCCCAAAUGGGGAGUUUUCAGUAAUUUUCUCAAUAGGCUUCUUCUAGAUUGAAAGAAAAUGAUUGUGAACUGUUUCUCUAUAUACAAAUGGGCAAUCACCAACUGUGCCACCUGUGAGGUAAACAUGGGCCAGCUCUUCACAACUACCAACAAGAAGCUGCAGCGAAGAUCAUUCUGUGGUAUUCAGAGUUCUCAAGUUGCGGACAACAUGUGCUGAGACUCGAGCAUGAAAAAUUAGCGGGGUUUUUUUUUUUUUCCUUUCUAGUUCUUCCUCCCCAAAAUAAACCUGUCUGUAUAGCAAUGAUUAUUUAGCAGGAGUUCAUCUCCCAAUUGUUGUUAUAUCGAUAUCUCUAUACCACUAUUACUUACCGGCAAUUCCAACAACAGUAAUAACACCUGUAGAAUUCACCUCUCUCAUGCUAAAGAAGCCAAAGGAAUGCAGAGUGCAUGGAUUGUAAAGAGGUUUGCUAGAUCUGCUUGCAUUUCUACAAGCAGAUAUGUGCUAACCUUACACGUGCAGGACAUCUGUGCCAUGUGUCAGGGAUGUUUGCUGGCUCCACAUGCACUUCCGCAAGUGGAUACAUGCUAACCUGGAAAAUGUGCAGGACAUCUGAGCCAUGUAUCAGGUGUGCUCUACCAUGUAAAUAACUGUGAGGAUGGUUAAAUCAUCAGUUAGGCCACAUAGAUGAAAAUGGUGGAUGGUUUAAACAAGCUUGGCAAUUUUUUUCUAGGUUGUCCAUGGUUUUAGCACAUGCAUUUGUUUACAUGCUGAUUUGUCCAGCUCUGAUGUCAGGGCUGAGCAUCUACAUGAUGGGGCCCACCUAAUACUUGGAUGGGAUGUCUACAAAAUUGUUUUUUCCUUUUCUUAUUUGAUAAAGUGGAUUAUUUUUCAAAGAUGUGACCAACAUCUUUCUAAUGCGGUAGCAGUCCUUAGAAAUGCCUACAGCAAUGAUGCAAGUCAACAUGGCAUGUGUACCAGUUGCAAAUAAGAGACAAAAACUUACAGUUUUAAUAUGAAGAAUCAUGGUACCAAUGAACCACAAUGUGAAUAGAAUCAAAAGAUCAAAUCCCGAAGGCAAAAGAGAGUAGAAGAACUUAGCUGCAUAAUCAUUAUAGCCAGGCAUUUAUAGCUACACCAGGAAAGUCUCUCAUUGUGGAUGAUUAUGGACAGGUACGGGAGGACCCACCUGGCCCAACUCUAGUUAUAGGUCUCUUUAGUCCAACUUCAAGUAAGAUAGUUGCAAUCUGGAGCCCACUGUAUCCUAACAAGUAGAGAAAUUAUAAUCUAGUUUUUUGCACUUUAUUUCAGGAUGCCUUUGCUUCCGAUAGAAAAAAGGCAAAAUUGCUCAACUUCUGUAUUGGAUAUGGGAAAGCUUAUGUUAGACUGGCUCUUGGUUAGAAGUGGCACUACUAAAGAGCAUGAAAAUAACGAGUGCAUAUCAAAGCAGCCUCUCUCACUGCCCUUAUUAAGGGAGGGCAACUGUCCCUGUCAAAGGUGGGGCCCAAACUAAAUCAAAGGUGGGCCAUGCGAUGAGCAAAUGAGACUAUUUACUAAUGGCUAGAAAUUAUCUACUUUCUCUUGCCCAUGUGAUGAGCAAAUGGGACCUAUUUUUACAUAAUGUGAUCCUCAUGGUGGGGCCAACCUAUUUGUGGGGCCAUGGCGAUGAAUGAGUUAUAUCUAUGCUGUCCAUAUGUGUUUAUUCGUUCAAAUUUAUGGCAUGAUCCCAAGUCUUAAAUCUCAAGUGGACCGCACUGUAGACCAAUGAGAUGGAUGAUCUCAUGUUUGAAACCUUUCUACGGCUUGCUG